CUUAUCCACAAAGUCCUUGUUUUCAAUGUUGUUUGUGCAUUUGUGAAUUUGUUUGUUUACGAGUGACAACAAAUAGGUAUUUAAAAAGCUUUAACAUAAGGAGAAGAUUUAUCCUACGUCAGUAUGGAAUUCGAGGACAUCUCCAACUCGGCGCUGAUCGGCCUGGGCGUCCUCGCAAUCUCCACCAUCGUCGGCCUAAUUCUCUACGGAAUAGCCUGCGGGACGCCUGCUCUCCCAGGCCUCAGUGGCGCUGCUGCUGCUGCUGCCGGGGCUAGCAACGCCACGGCUCAGACGGCUCCCACGCAACAGAUAGCGGCGUAGCACAGAUGGAGAGGGGUUGCCAGCCGCCUCUCGUAAUGCAGACUGACUCGGAUCACGUGUAUAUUACGUAUUUUCGUCACUCGGUAUGCAUGAUUGUGAUUUGGUUUCAGUGGAGUUUUUUUAAGUUGUUUAAAACACUGUGCAAUCUAUAUUUUAAUGUGACACUUGUUGUACUGUGAAUAUUUGUGGGUGGAAACUUAUCCCAACAUAUCGGCCUGUUUUUAAUAAUGUAAGUCUUUGAAGAUACGAAAAGUUGAUGUUCUAUCGUU